rnacentral:lncRNA from 1 species
AGGGAACCCCCUCAGGGCCGGCUCUGUCAAGCUUCUGCUGGCAAUAAUCUAAUCUUGCCAUGAAAUUCAGCUUCUGUUGUUUCAUCAGUUAGUAAACCAAGGACAGGGUGUGAGCGUAUAAUGCAAUGAGCCUGAAUUAUGGCACAUUAAUAAGCUUCUGCUUGUCAGUUAAGUUGCCGUGGUGUUCAGAGUGUUCCAUGGGUACCACUGGAGCUUUGACACAUAUUGAUUUAACAACAGCACUAUUGUCCAGACAUCAUCCCAGCUCAUGUAAAAGUCAGCUAUAUGGGGCACACAUAACAGGUCUGGAUUUCUCAUCCUCUGAAGCACGAGAGUAGCUACCAGGAGCUCACCUACUGCUACUACAUGGGACUGCCUGCAGCGGGCACGAGGCUUAGACAUUAUGGGGACAAUUCAGGUACUGCUUAAGGGCAAAAGCCUUUCUUUCUGAAAAGAUAGUUGCCUCGGAAUAUAGUAUGAGCUUUGGGCCGUGGCAGGAUGGUGGAAUGCAAUACUGCCUCUAGGGUAGUGAGACCUAGAAGUCGUUGUUCCUGGCUAGUGCUUGUCACUCACCCUUGUAGCGGCAUUCCCAAACCUCCCCAAAGCCUUCCUCGGCUCUCUGCCACGGAGGAACUCAGCAAGCACUCCGUUUAAACAUCUCAAAUUAAAUUUAUUGUAACUAUCCAAGAGCAGCGUGACAGGGCUUCUGGUGGGGCUGUAAGCCUUCUGACCGCUGGGCAGCCAUGGUGGCAACUUAACCCACCCCACGGUGUGCCUCUGAGCCAAUGCCUCCGUGGGUUCUUACCAGCACAGGUCCAGCUUUGCAGAAGUGGCAGCCCCUGGCCCAAACAGGCCUUGUGUGUGGCUGACUGUGUGCCUUGACUGCCGGCAGCCAGCCCUGCGCAUUACAGUGUUUUCCAGAAAGCUCCUUGGCUGCUUCAGUGCAAUGAAGUUUUUAUGGCUAACACUUCAGUAUGGCAACAAGCUAACAAACAGAACAAUUCUGUUACAAGUGGAGGCAAUUAACAUUCAUGGGAAGAAAUGCAUUGAGGUUGUCAGCUUUCAGGCGAAGAAUAUUACAGCAAUGCCCUCUAGCGUUGCUUUCGUUGAAGUGUGAAUGAACGCUCCCCGGGAAAAAUCACGCCGUACUGAAGGCUGCAUCCUUCCUUCUCUGCUUGUAAGAGUAAGCCCUUGACAGAGAAUGCACAAGGCAAAGAUCAAAUUCAUGGUACUUGACCUUUUCCAAG